rnacentral:rRNA from 1 species
GACGUAGGGCGCGAGCGUUGUCCGGAUUUAUUGGGCGUAAAGAGCUCGUAGGCGGCUCGUUGCGUCGGCUGUGAAAACCCGCAGCUCAACUGUGGGCUUGCAGCUGAUACGGGCGGGCUGGGAUUCGGUAGGGGAGACUGGAAUUCCUGGUGUAGCGGUGAAAUGCGCAGAUAUCAGGAGGAACACCGGUGGCGAAGGCGGGUCUCUGGGCCGAUAUCGACGCUGAGGAGCGAAAGCAUGGGGAGCGAACAGG